rnacentral:rRNA from 1 species
AAAGGCUCGUAGUUGGAUUUCUGAAUGGGUGCGGCGGCUCGGUGCUCUUUCGAGCGUCUGAGAUCAGUUUGCAUCUGUUCAUCUUGCCACAAACUGCUCUGACCUUAAUUGGCCGGGGAUCAGGGAGUAGCUCGUUUACUUUGAGAAAAACAGAGUGUUCAAAGCAGGCAUUUGCCUUGAAUGAGUUAGCAUGGAAUAAUUUUAUAGGACUUUGGUUCUAUUUUGUUGGUUGUUAAAGGACCGAAGUAAUGAUUGAUAGGGACAGUUGGGGCCAUCUGUAUUCUGAAGCGAGAGGUGAAAUUCUUGGACCUUCGGAAGACAAACAACUGCGAAAGCAUUUGGCAAGGAUGUUCUCUUUAAUCAAGAACGAAAGUUGGGGGAUCGAAGACGAUCAGAUACCGUCGUAGUCUCAACUAUAAACUAUGCCGACUAGGGAUUGGUGGACGUGCUACUACAACGCCAUCAGCACCUUAUGAGAAAUCAAAGUAUUUGGGUUCCGGGGGGAGUAUGGUCGCAAGGCUGAAACUUAAAGGAAUUGACGGGAGGGCACCACCAGGAGUGGAGCCUGUGGCUCAAUUUGACUCAACACGGGAAAACUUACCAGGUCCAGACAUAGUAAGGAUUGACAGAUUGACAGCUCUU